rnacentral:rRNA from 1 species
UGCAAGUCGAACGGAAAGGCCCUUCGGGGUACUCGAGUGGCGAACGGGUGAGUAACACGUGGGUGAUCUGCCCUGCACUUUGGGAUAAGCCUGGGAAACUGGGUCUAAUACCGAAUAUGACUGCGCACUUCCUGGUGUGUGGUGGAAAGCUUUUGCGGUGUGGGAUGGGCCCGCGGCCUAUCAGCUUGUUGGUGGGGUAAUGGCCUACCAAGGCGACGACGGGUAGCCGGCCUGAGAGGGUGACCGGCCACACUGGGACUGAGAUACGGCCCAGACUCCUACGGGAGGCAGCAGUGGGGAAUAUUGCACAAUGGGCGCAAGCCUGAUGCAGCGACGCCGCGUGAGGGAUGACGGCCUUCGGGUUGUAAACCUCUUUCAAUAGGGACGAAGCGCAAGUGACGGUACCUAUAGAAGAAGGACCGGCCAACUACGUGCCAGCAGCCGCGGUAAUACGUAGGGUCCGAGCGUUGUCCGGAAUUACUGGGCGUAAAGAGCUCGUAGGUGGUUUGUCGCGUUGUUCGUGAAAACUCACAACUCAAUUGUGGGCGUGCGGGCGAUACGGGCAGACUAGAGUACUGCAGGGGAGACUGGAAUUCCUGGUGUAGCGGUGGAAUGCGCAGAUAUCAGGAGGAACACCGGUGGCGAAGGCGGGUCUCUGGGCAGUAACUGACGCUGAGGAGCGAAAGCGUGGGGAGCGAACAGGAUUAGAUACCCUGGUAGUCCACGCCGUAAACGGUGGGUACUAGGUGUGGGUUCCUUCCUUGGGAUCCGUGCCGUAGCUAACGCAUUAAGUACCCCGCCUGGGGAGUACGGCCGCAAG